CGGUUGCUCUUUUCGUCGUCACACGAGCUCUCUCGGCCGUGCUCUUGUCUUACGAGCUCCCUCCGCCGCCGCUCUCGCGCUGCUUCUUCUCUCCUCGCUGGAGGUUUGUCAUCGUCUCUUCUGGUCGCUGUUAGUUCAGGAUAAAAAUUCCUGACUUGAUCAUUUGAUGAACUUGAUGUUAUGUAGCAGUGAUUAUUUAUCUUCGUAUUUGCAGCUGCUAUAGAUUUUGGAGACUUCUUUAAAGGUCCAUUGCCAGGAAAGUUUCUCAAGCUUUUAGGGUUUCUUGCCUUGUCACGUCUUGGUGUGUAUAUUCCUCUAGGUGGGGUUAAUAGGGAGGCUUUUGUUGGAAAUUUAGAUCAGAAUAGUUUAUUAAGCACUCUGGACUCAUCAAUGCACAAAUUGUUUUCCAGCUUCUUGCACAGGUAUAUCCGAAGUUGCAAGAUCUUCAGAAAAGAGAAGGCGAGGCUGGAAGAAAGAAAGUUCUUCAAUACACUCGAUAUGCGUCAGUUGGAUUUGCAAUUGUACAGGCAAUUGGCCAAGUCCUCUUUUUACGUCCUUAUGUGAAUGACUUUAGUACCGACUGAAGCAGACAUGCAGAAAUUGAGUCAUGCGUUAAAAGUAAUUUCAAAGAAUCAAAGAACAUGGUUCACAGCAGCGCUUCUACAAUUAAGUGCCGAAGAAUAUCCACCUGCUGAUGCAACUGAUGACAAGUUGUAUUUGAAAGGUGCUACCAAUAGAGGGGAGAGCUUGAAGAACAUUGCUACAGGUCAAUGUGAUGAAAAGUCAUAUAGAUUAGGAUUGCAAAUUUGCAAGAGGAUCUGAAAAGAACUUUGGAUUCCAUAUGGUAUAAAGCUACAGAGAUAUGCCAAUCGAGCCGGCUCAAGGCUUUUCUCAGGAAGCAGGGAAAGUUAUCUUCGCUUUGUGUCAAUCAAGAUAAUAAAUCCAGCGGAAACUUUUGGUGAUAUAGUUAUUGAUUAUUGGUUGCAAUGAAAGGCUAUAUCUAUCAAAAAGUAUGAUCGUUCAAUAAAAUUAUUACCAUUCUAAGGUUGCAACUUGGAGCAAGCAUGGUGAAAAAGUCAAGUUGCUACUGUUGUUUGGAGACCAUGUUAUCAGUGUUGAUAUUCGUGGCAACAUGUUCUUGUGGGCAUUUAAGGGAGUUAUGGAUCAGAACCCUUUCCCAUUUGGGCACAUUUUGCUUGAUCAGAGUUCCUAUUAAUAUUUAUUUAUUUAUUUUAUGCUUGCUCAGAUGUGGAUUUUGCAUUUUCUCCCUGCAAGCGUUGUUAGCAUGAUCAACAAAGUAGAGAGCUUUCUCAGAACAAUGUUUCUAGACGAGCCAAGAAACUUAAAGUAAAGGAAGAAGAAAUAAAGUUGAAGCCCGUGAUUGCAUUUGAUUGUGAAUCUGAAUUACAGUGGGGAAUCCAGCCUUAAAGGCAUGUGUAUAAAUAUAUAAAUUGAAAUGUGAGGAAAGUUGGGAUGAUGAAGAAGAAGCAGCAGCAGAAAGAGCAAGUGAAGUGAAAUUUUGCAGAUGAGAUAAGUGGAAUUAACACAGGAUUAUGUAUAAUUAUACAUUAUAAAGG